UUAAAUUGAAGAGUUUGAUCAUGGCUCAGAUUGAACGCUGGCGGCAGGCCUAACACAUGCAAGUCGAACGGUAACAGGAAGCAGCUUGCUGCUUCGCUGACGAGUGGCGGACGGGUGAGUAAGGUGCUGGGAAA
rnacentral:rRNA from 1 species